rnacentral:rRNA from 1 species
UACAGAGGUGGCAAGCGUUGUUCGGAAUUACUGGGCGUAAAGGGCGCGUAGGCGGCCUUCUAAGUCAGACGUGAAAUCCCCCGGCUUAACCUGGGAACUGCGUCUGAUACUGGAGGGCUUGAGUAUGGGAGAGGGAUGUAGAAUUCCAGGUGUAGCGGUGAAAUGCGUAGAUAUCUGGAGGAAUACCGGUGGCGAAGGCGGCAUCCUGGACCAUUACUGACGCUGAGGCGCGGAAAGCUAGGGGAGCAAACGGG